GGAUCGAGGAGGGGUUU
rnacentral:miRNA from 1 species